rnacentral:rRNA from 1 species
UACGUAGGGGGCAAGCGUUGUCCGGAUUUACUGGGCGUAAAGAGCGUGUAGGCGGCCAAGCAGGUCCGUUGUGAAAACUCGAGGCUCAACCUCGAGACGUCGAUGGAAACCAUCUGGCUAGAGUCCGGAAGAGGAGAGUGGAAUUCCUGGUGUAGCGGUGAAAUGCGCAGAUAUCAGGAAGAACACCCGUGGCGAAGGCGGCUCUCUGGGACGGUACUGACGCUGAGACGCGAAAGCGUGGGGAGCAAACGGG